AGUGAACGCUGGCGGUAGGCCUAACACAUGCAAGUCGAACGGCAGCACAGUAAGAGCUUGCUCUUACGGGUGGCGAGUGGCGGACGGGUGAGGAAUACAUCCGAAUCUACUUUUUCGUGGGGGAUAACGUAGGGAAACUUACGCUAAUACCGCAUACGACCUACGGGUGAAAGCAGGGGAUCUUCGGACCUUGCGCGAUUGAAUGAGCCGAUGUCGGAUUAGCUAGUUGGCGGGGUAAAGGCCCACCAAGGCGACGAUCCGUAGCUGGUCUGAGAGGAUGAUCAGCCACACUGGAACUGAGACACGGUCCAGACUCCUACGGGAGGCAGCAGUGGGGAAUAUUGGACAAUGGGCGCAAGCCUGAUCCAGCCAUACCGCGUGGGUGAAGAAGGCCUUCGGGUUGUAAAGCCCUUUUGUUGGGAAAGAAAAGCAGCAGGUUAAUACCCCGCUGUUCUGACGGUACCCAAAGAAUAAGCACCGGCUAACUUCGUG
rnacentral:rRNA from 1 species